UUUUCUUUGAUAACUUUCUCUGUUGAAGUGGAGAAUGAACUGAGAGCCAUGAAAGCUAACAAGUCUGCAGAAAUGUGCAAAAUGCUUGUGAUCAACCAGGAAUUCCAGCCCUUGAAAGAUGCAGAAAUAUGUGGAGAUACAGAGAAAAGCUGUUGUCCUUUGUGGAUCUGCAGAGGUUUCCUCCCCCCGGAAUGCAUAUAAAGGGAUAUCCAAAGCAAUUA